UCCUAAUAGGAUGGACCCUCUAAAAUGCCCAACCUAUGAGGAGGAAAGGAGCUUAAGCUUGAGGUCCAUCUUAGAGGGCCAAGGAGCAGCUUGGCCACUGCUCAAUAAGGCAAACAAGCAUUGGCCAACGCGAAGAUGCACUAAGCAAUGAGCAACCUAGUGGCAAGAGGAGAAUUGUCCUCUUUGAAUCCGAUGAAAAUGAGGACAAAGAACAAUUUGAUUUGAAGAAUAAAAAGGAAGAAGGAGACUUCAUGAAGCCCUCGGCCGAGGAAUUCCUAAGCCUUACUGGAUUCAAACAUUAUGGAAAAUAAGAGGGAAUAAGACUUCUGCACACAUGAGGACACCAUUUUCCUAC
rnacentral:lncRNA from 1 species